UCUACACGCUCCCCGCGUUCAGUCGUUCGCUCGCUGCAGCGUCAGAGGAACUCAGCCCAGCCACGAUACAGCCUCCCGGCCAACUUGGAUUUACUGAUUUGAUUAAUUUUUCAAUCGCGUCUCAGCGCUUUUUUACCCGCUCUUAAAUUCUUCUAAAAAUAAUUUUCUGCUUAUCAGCGACUUUGUUGCUUUAUUUCCAGAUUCUGCAUCAAGGGAGGCUCUGCAAAGCUUCUAUAACUGCCGACUUCGGACGUAGUAGACUCCUUUUGUGAUAGCGGACCACUGACCCUGGGGGUCUGCAAAGUUCCCGGCCUGAUUAACCUCAGCAGAGCCGCACAGGAGCAAAGGUUAACCGGCCUAAUCAACUUCAAGAGUGGGACUGAGUGACAUCAUCAACGGACACACACGCACAUAAACCCACAAAAAGUAACCAGAUGGAGGGUACAGAAUUUCUUGGUGAGAGAGAGAGAGAAAAAAACUUUCUAGGAGGCCGCGUAGAAACAACAACAUGAGGCAAGAAGACCCCCUGGAGGAUGUCAUGGAAUUAAAACACCAUUGAUCAUACAAUGAAAUGAGCGUUAGAUGGAUUCAAAUGUUGGAUCGUAUUGCUGCUAAACACCUGAUGAUGUAUUAUGACAAGUGUUAGAAGUAUAGUUGUCCUGAUGAUAUCUCCCUGCACUGUCCUCACUGGUAACCGUGGUUAAGUUUAUAUUUUCUUUUUGUCUGUUCUCUCUAAAACCUUGUGUUCUGUUGAAUUUCUAAUAACUACCCAUCAUUAUAAAAAUGCAAUCCAAUACAUUGAUCCGUACACUUUCACCACCUUGUAAAAAAUGAAGUGUUCAGGCAUUUUGAAAUUGCCACACUAACAAUAGCCAAUAAUUAUAAGAUGAACCUACAAAAGAUGAUGGUCCAACAAUAGUCCAUAUUGUCCAGAUGAAUGAGCAGGUAAAGAAGUGAAGCAGUAAACAGUAGCAGUAGAGGAGUGGCGCAGAAAGGCGAGCGGCUGACUGGAUGAUGGUAUUAUAAACGGGUGUAAUGUUCACAACAACAACAGCAGCAGCAGCAGGCAGAGGAAUAUGUGCCCUCGGGCCAAAGCAUGAAAGCGAGGGCGGCCACACAUUGUGCUGUGAUAGAGCUGACAACACUUGUCUGGCUUGUGAUGCAAAGUAUCAAGAGGAUUUUUUUUCUACAUGAGGGGGAAAAAAGAGCUUCAGGCAGAUAAUGAGCUUGUAGCUUGUUUAGCUAUUGUAAGUAUGUCACCUAUUAAAGUUCUGACUACCUACCCACAUGUAAGAUGUGAUUUAUGUCCAAAGUACUUUUCUACUCUAGAAUAACACUUGGCUCACAACCAUACAAGACACAUAUGUAGCAGUUGGGCUACUCCACUAUGGACCCUCUUUAAAAUGCUACACGUUACUCAUUCUUAAACUAAAUGAAUAAUCAUUUUGAGCGCUUCGCCACACCCUAUUUAUAUGUGUUAUUACAUAUGAUUCCCUCAUCACCUUGAACAUAAAAUUUGGUAUAAAUUUCUACCAUUGGUAGACCCACAGAAAAAAGUCCCAGGAAACAGUGGAAAAAAAGACAGGCAGUUGACCAUUUAGAGUUGCAGCAGCCAUUUCAAGGUGACUGGCCAUUUUGAUGUAUAGUUCACAAACAAUUUUGUCCAACAAAUUUGCUACCGAGUGUACCACUGCAUUUACCAGACAUCAGGGUAAAAUAAUUUCUGAACCGUUUAAGUUUAAGCUAUUGCGUGUAGAUGUCGAAUGGUUGCGAGUCUCAGUAAAUCACUUGUGAUUCCAUUGAGUACUCCAGAUUUAAUAAAACAAAAUAGAUCACUGGACAAAACAGUUUGACCUAUCAACGUUCAUAUUUUUGAUCCACCAAUGAAGUCUUCAAUUCUUUUUCCCUGUUCAUCAGAAAGUGCUUCAAAGAAAAAGGUGAUUGAAAUGAAAUGAAGAAUAUUUUUGGUUAGUGAUCAUUAUUUUUGUUUUAUGUUCUGGAAAGUACUUUGGUACAGCUGCAGUUGGCAUGUUGAGGACGCUUAAAAUACAUGCAGAAUUUUGGAUAUUAAAAACUGUCUUGGCAGGCAGAGAUUGUUGAAACUGCAAAGGAAGUUGUCAACAAGGACAUUUUUCUCCAGAGACUGGAAAGGAAAUUCCACGGGGAAGGGUUCUGGCAGAUUGUGAGCCGUAGGACAAAAUCCCAAGACAACAGCUCAAGGCAAACUGAAAGGUCAGCGAGUAUCACUUUCACUUGUAAGAAGAAGACUUAAGAAGCAUGGCGUGAACAGGUCAAGUGGCCACCAGAUAGACUCAGUUAACACGGAUGUUCUUGCCUUCCACAUGGAGUGACAUGAAACAUUAAAAUAGAAGCUCCACGGAAAGGAUGAUUCCAUUGCUUCUGUUUGUUAGGAUCCUAAAUACUAUUACAAUAUAGCUAGAUGGGCAAAAAAGCAUGUGACUCGCUCAGUGUUGUUUUCUUCAACGAUGACGAUAACGAUUUCGUUGAUGAGAAAAAGGCGUCUUGGGAGACUAAAACAUAAUGAGACGAAUGCGAGUUUUUGUCUGAUGAGACGAAAACUAGAUAAAAAUUUGUUUCCGCCAUAAUUUCACAAUGUGUGAUAUUUUCUUAUUGUAUGUGUAGUUAGCAGUGUUUGGUCAUGUCACUCAUGUGACGUGCUGGACCCCCACUCACACGCUUGCUCCAGACUUGCCUUUUGUGAAACACGUGUCAGGUGCUGCUUGGUAAGAUUUGUUUUCUUAUCUUGGCUAAAGAAUAUGACAAGUUGCUUUAGCCUUUAAAGGUAUGUGCUAAGGGAUG